rnacentral:rRNA from 1 species
UACGGAGGAUGCGAGCGUUAUCCGGAUUCAUUGGGUUUAAAGGGUACGUAGGCGGCCUAAUAAGUCAGUGGUGAAAAUCUGUCGCUUAACGAUAGAAGUGCCAAUGAUACUGUAAGGCUUGAGUACAGAUGAGGUAAGCGGAAUGUGUUGUGUAGCGGUGAAAUGCAUAGAUAUUACACAGAACCCCGAUUGCGAAGGCAGCUUACUAAGUUGAGACUGACGCUGAUGUACGAAAGCGUGGGGAUCGAACAGGAUUAGAUACCCUGGUAGUCCACGCCGUAAACGAUGCUCACUGGCUGUAUGCGAUAUAUAGUAUGCGGCUAAGCGAAAGCGGUAAGUGAGCCACCUGGGGAGUACGCCGGCAACGGUGAA